rfam:Salmo salar isolate Sally breed double haploid chromosome ssa03, whole genome shotgun sequence.
GACUGUACUAACUGUAAGUUGCUCUGGAUAAGAGCGUCUGCUAAAUGACUAAAA